rnacentral:rRNA from 1 species
GUAGGGAAUCUUGCGCAAUGGGCGAAAGCCUGACGCAGCCAUGCCGCGUGAAUGAUGAAGGUCUUAGGAUUGUAAAAUUCUUUCACCGGGGACGAUAAUGACGGUACCCGGAGAAGAAGCCCCGGCUAACUUCGUGCCAGCAGCCGCGGUAAUACGAAGGGGGCUAGCGUUGCUCGGAAUUACUGGGCGUAAAGGGAGCGUAGGCGGAUAGUUUAGUCAGAGGUGAAAGCCCAGGGCUCAACCUUGGAAUUGCCUUUGAUACUGGUUGUCUUGAGUACGGGAGAGGUGAGUGGAACUCCGAGUGUAGAGGUGAAAUUCGUAGAUAUUCGGAAGAACACCAGUGGCGAAGGCGGCUUACUGGUCCAUUACUGACGCUGAGGUGCGAAAGCGUGGGGAGCAAACAGGAUUAGAAACCCGAGUAGUCC